rnacentral:rRNA from 1 species
GGUUAAGUGACGAAGCGUAUACGGUGGAUGCCUUGGCAGUUAGAGGCGAUGAAGGACGUGUAAGUCUGCGAAAAGCUGUGGUGAGCCGACAAAAUGCAUUUGAGCCACAGAUGUCCGAAUGGGGAAACCCACCUGUUUACAGGUAUCGUUACAUGAAUACAUAGUGUAACGAGGCGAACGAGGGGAACUGAAACAUCUAAGUACCCUUAGGAAAAGAAAUCAAUUGAGAUUCCCCUAGUAGCGGCGAGCGAACGGGGAACAGCCCUUAAGCUGUUUAGAAUUUAGUGGAAUCCUUUG